rnacentral:rRNA from 1 species
UACGAAGGGGGCUAGCGUUGUUCGGAAUUACUGGGCGUAAAGCGUGCGCAGGCGGCUUCUCAAGUCAGGGGUGAAAGCCUAGAGCUCAACUCUGGAAUUGCCUUUGAGACUGAGUGGCUUGAGUACGGGAGAGGUGAGUGGAAUUCCCAGUGUAGAGGUGAAAUUCGUAGAUAUUGGGAAGAACACCGGUGGCGAAGGCGGCUCACUGGCCCGUAACUGACGCUCAUGCACGACAGCGUGGGGAUCAAACAGG